AAGGUCUGUGACGUCAGGCCAGCUCUCAGCCAUUUUCCCAUGCCAUUGAAGCAUUUGGAGACUGUGGGUUGUUUCCUCCCACCGGCUUUCAUCCUGUUCUUUCCUACCACCUAGUUUAGCCAGUCCAUUUCCUUAAGAGUAACAGUCAAUCACGAUGAGCUUGCCUGGUCCCCUGGCAGCCGCAUUCUUCAAAGAGCUAAAGCAGCCCUUUGUGUUGGCUUUGUGUCUGGCUCAGCCUGACUGAGUCCAGUCUCUCAGGUCAGCCGUAUAAAAAGAUGCACAGAAGGAAUGAAAUCCAUGUCACCUCCUUCGGGGCCUGCUGUAAGCCUGAAGCUCUGAAUAAGAAGAGAACAGAGUAACUCCUCCCUCAGCAGCGAUGGACUGCCAUGGAAGCCUCUGAUAAGGAUGGGGCCCCGGGGCACGCCUUCCUUCAUGCUGGAUUUUGAUGGUCUUGGCCUCAUGCGGGUCUUUCGUGGGGAGCCACUUUUGCUGUGAGCUGGUGCAUGCAACAUCAGUGUCAUGUCUACAAGCCAGUAUUUCCUAACCCUCCUUUCUAUCCACCUGCUCUUGCAUUCUUCCUACUCCAAGAGUAUGUGGUUUCCCUGCCAGCAAUGUCCAGCACUGGCUAAGACCAGUGAUGCCUUUUCUUCCCCAGAAGCCCGUACAGCACAAUGCAAGCUAGCCAGGCUCUUGAGGAUGAUUUCUUGAAGCCUCACAUCCAAAAUGAGUACUGUCUUCAACAACAGCAUUUCAUCAGGCUUCUCCAAGUAUGCUUAGUUCUGGCUAACCCGCUCCUACCAUCCAUCUCCUUGCCCCACCCUAGCCCCAUCUCCACUUGAACCUUUAACCCUGAGCAUUUCCACUGCCUCCUAUCAUGUUGCCUGGGUCCCACUGUCCCUUUGAACUGAUUUUUCUUCUCAGUCUGGAGGACCAUAGGUUUCCACGUAGCUUUCUCAUGGAAACUUCAUUAUUUAGUGCUCUUUUCCCCCUUUGGAAUUCAUCUUGGAAUAGGGGAAAACCAGCUCUAACGUUAAUUUUUUUUCUCUAGCAGCUGGUAAAUUGCUCCAAUAUUGCAUAUCAAUCCAGUUCUUCUAUUCCCAUUGAUUUGAAAUUACAGAGUACCUAGAGUUAGCAGGGUUUGGGGGUAGGGCUAGGGGUGGGAAAUGACCCCUCUUUUAUAUGAAAAUAACUGAAUGGAAUCAAGUUAUAACAGCAAGAGUGAAUACCCUCACACUUAUGGUUCUGGAGAGAAUUAUAUGCACUAUUUUUGGAGGAUAUUUUUACUUUGAUGCUUUUAUAUAUUUUCUAAAGUCCCUUUGGUUUGUUGUAUUAUUUUGUAAUCAAGAAAACUGCACAUCACAUGUCAUCUUAAACUAUUGUGCCUUUGAUUGAAUAAGGAGAAGGGUUUAUAAAUUCAGCCUAUUUUCUUCUUAGAGUUAUCUCCCCCGCCUCUGCUAUAUUGUAGAGCAUUCUCUAAAUUCUGAAGACAGUGCUAGCUAAUUUUCAGCCUUAUAAUGGGCCCAUACCUCAAAUUCAUCACCCCAUAAACUUUGCAAGCAGAGACGAUAAGUGCAGGUUUUUUUUUUCAAGUGAAGAAUUAUAGCUCACUUUUGGAGGGAAAAAAAAAGUCAAACCCCAGGCGUGCAACUGAGCUGUGUCAAGGAAGAUGAGCAGGGCAUGGUGGCAUUCCUCACCUCAUGUCAGCUGUCUGAUGACAUAGUCUUCUUCCGUUGACUUUUGGCUUCAAUCAUUUUGAACAUAUUUUGCCCACUUUUUCUUCUCUUCCUCAUGUUUUGAGAUGUUAAGCACUUUCCCUUAAGGGCAUAGUUAUAAAUGCCACUCCUCACACCUCAUGAUGGGACGCUAUACAGCCAUGAUAUGUUGUUCCAGGUCUGCCCUAUGGGGAUCUGUCCAUAUGUGUCCAUGUGUGUUGGAGUUCCUAAGUGUGAUUUCCACACUUACAUAAAGGUGUAUAUCAUGCACGGUGCUGCCAGACACCUCCAGAAGCUACGGAAAAACAGGCAAGGCUUCUUCAAGGCUCCCAGACCACAGGGAAGCCCUCUAGAGAGAGUGUGUUUGUUGUGUUCCCUAAGGAGCACAGGCUGGGCCUGUUCUGGCUUGCUCUAUGUUGUGUGGAAUAUAAGCUUCCAAACAGCAGCCUUGACCUGAGUUACUCCAUCUUGAUAGAAGUGCCAAAAAAGACAGACUCUGCAUCUUAUUCACGCACUAAACAAUUACCAUCUGCCAGCACUCCCGGCGGCAAAAACUGAUCACUUUCUCACGUCAAUAAAUACUGAUACCAGCAAACUUAUCAAAUCGUGUCAGAAGUGCCCUCCACGUUAGCUCAUCAACAACAGAAGCUGGGGCCCUCCUCACCUGGAACUAUAACAGAAGGAGUUACUGGGGACCAAACUGCCGCAGGCAUGCUGACCAGUCACCCAGUCAGUGAAGGGUUCCUGCCUCCGUCUACCUCUGUUUCCAGGCCCCUGCUCCAGCACAGAUUCUCCUGCCUCAGCAUACUUAAGACUGACCUCUGAAACACCCUGACACUCUGACCUGCACCUGACAUCUCUGGACAGCUCAGAGCUCAGAGCCUGCAAGGCUCCUUUUCUACUCCCCACCAGCUUUCCUUUGCCCUAUUAGCUCUCUGCCUCCAAUGUCAGGACAACCUCUCUGAACUCAGCAGGUCCUUUUUGUGCAUGUAGGCGCACAGUGCCCAUGCGCGCACACACACACACACACACACGCGCGCGCGCGCACACACACAGUGUCCUGUAGGUGUAAUAAUGUGUGAGCUGAGAAUAAAGAAUAUCAUUGUUGCCAACCUGAUACCAAGCAAAGUCUAGAUUCUGCAGCCAAUUGUAGCCAAUGAAAAUGAUGCAGCCUGACAGCAGCUUAUUGUUGCUUAAUAAAUUCUGAUAUUGGAA